UGAAAAGUUUAAGAUUCGCUCAGAGAAGAAUGUUCUUAAUAGGUCAAAGUUGACAUAUCACCACAAAGCUGGGUCAAAAUCAUUUAUGUCACACCAAGAGCAAAUUGCAACACAGGCUGGA